CUUCAGGUAUAAAUAUUUUCACACUUUCAAUCUUUUCACAACUUUUCCAGUCUUCAGGUAUAAAUAUUUUCACACUAACAAUCUUUUCACAACUUUUCCAGUCUUCAGGUAUAAAUAUUUUCACACUAACAAUCUUUUCACAACUUUUCCAGUCUUCAGGUAUAAAUAUUUUCACACUAACAAUCUUUUCACAAAUUUUCCAGUCUUCAGGUAUAAAUAUUUUCACACUAACAAUCUUUUCACAACUUUUCCAGUCUUCAGGUAUAAAUAUUUUCACACUAACAAUCUUUUCACAAAUUUUCCAGUCUUCAGGUAUAAAUAUUUUCACACUAACAAUCUUUUCACAAAUUUUCCAGUCUUCAGGUAUAAAUAUUUUCACACUAACAAUCUUUUCACAAAUUUUCCCGCCUUCAGGUAUAAAUAUUUUCACACUUUCCGUUUCCAAAGACAAAUUUUCACACCUUAGUCACGAUUCGCUUUCCCUUCACGGGUUAGAAGUUUUCACGAAUUUUACUUUCUUUUUUUUCAUUGUUUUCCUCUUUUUCUUCACGUGUUUUAAAGUAUUUUCCCGUGACUGCUUUCCUUUUCCUUUCCUUUCCUUUCUCUUCUUUCUGUAUUUUAAUUUUCCUCUUUUUUCCCUCCUUUCUUUUUUUCCUUUGUCUUUUCUUUAUUUCUUAUUUUCUUAUCUUUUCCUUUUUCCUUCCUUUUCUUAUCCUUUCUCUUUCCUCCACUCUUAUCUUUUCUUCCUUUCUCUCUCUUUUUCCUUUCCCUUUCAUUCUUCUUCUCCUUUCUCUGUUUCCUUUCCAUAUUUCAUUCUUCUCUUCUGAUUCCUUCCUUCUUCCCUUUCCUUCUCUUCCUUCCUUCCUUCUCUUCCUUCCUUCUUCCUUAUUCUAUACAGUUACGAAGCGUUGAGUCAGUGGGAACAUUCUCUCUCUCUCUCUCUCUCUCUCUCUCUCUC